CUCUCCUAAACAAAAUAAAUAACAGUUCAAUAUACAACAUUUGCUCAAGCUAUUAUAAUUAGCUAGUUGUUAGUAAAUUUAAAAAAGAUUUUAACUAAACCAUUAUAUCAAAUUAUCUACAGUGAGAAAAAUGAUAUGCAUAAUCCCAAAUUCUAAUUUAUAAAUUUUUAUUAGGCUUUUUUGUACUGUACUCCUAUCUUUGGUUUCACUCAAAUUUUGUGAAGUCACACCAUUUCUAACAAAAUUAAACUUAAGUUGUAUUCAUUAAUAUCAAUAAUAUGUUGUUGUUAGGUGCUGUCGAGUCGGUUCCAACUCAUAGUGACCCUACGCACAACAGAACAAAACACUGCCUGGUCCUGCACCAUCCCUACAAUGUUGUUAUGCUUGAGCUCAUUGUUGCAGCCACUGUGUCAAUCCACCUCAUUGAGGGUGUUGCUCUUUUUUGCUGACCCUGUACUCUACGAAGCAUGAUGUCCUUCUCCAGGGACUCAUCCCUCCUGACAACACGUCCAAAAAGAGAUCUAAACACAGGAGCUCUGUGCUAGCCAUACUGUGGUUGACCAGUGGAUGAAGACAUAGGAAGAUCUGUAGAUAAAUGAAGAAGGAGACCAAUGUGCGGACACGGGGAGGAAGUUCUGAUGGCUUUCCAGCUCUUGAUUCUAAUUCCUUCCUGAAGCCCACAGUUCCUGUGACAUAUCUCUACAUUGCCCUAUUUUACCCUGAGUUGGUACUUUUAAGUGUUCUAAUGUACUGCUCUAUGAAAUAUACUGCCAUUAAAAAUAACUGAAGACGAUAUACUGCUGUUAAUAAUAACUAAAGACUAUGUA